AGCAGCCGCGGUAAUUCCAGCUCCAAUAGCGUAUAUUAAAGUUGUUGCAGUUAAAAAGCUCGUAGUUGAAUUUCGGGGUUAGUAGGCUGGUCGUGCCACUGGUACGUACCGGUCUCACUGAUUCCUCCUUCCUGAUGAACCGUAAUGCCAUUAAUUUGGUGUUGCGGGGAGACUGGACUGUUACUUUGAAAAAAUUAGAGUGUUUAAAGCAAGCUAACGCUUGAAUACAUUAGCAUGGAAUAAUGAAGUAGGACGUUCGAUCCUAUUUUGUUGGUUUCUAGGAUUGACGUAAUGAUUAAUAGGGAUAGUUGGGGGCAUUAGUAUUCAAUUGUCAGAGGUGAAAUUCUUGGAUUUAUUGAAGACUAACUACUGCGAAAGCAUUUGCCAAGGAUGUUUUCAUUAAUCAAGAACGAAAGUUAGGGGAUCGAAGACGAUCAGAUACCGUCGUAGUCUUAACCAUAAACUAUGCCGACUAGGGAUCGGAUGAUGUUAAUUUUUAAUGACUCAUUCGGCGCCUUAC
rnacentral:rRNA from 1 species